CCCCCCCCCGGGGGCCCUCCUUUAUUAUACAUUCAUCUCAUAUUCAACACACUCAUAUACCAGUAUAUAUGUGUGACAGAGUAACAUUUUUUUAAAAAAAAUUCAUGGAAGAUCCUGGUGUCUGUUAUGGUUAAAGUUAAAGCCUCGUUUUUCUCUGUCUUACCCUUGACACAAAGACGUGUCAGCAUAUGAGCAAUUCUCAUGUUGCUCCUUGAGCGCAUUCAGAUCUUAUAGGAUUUGCUUUUCAAUGUUAGUUUUUUCAAAUAUGACUAAAAUGGGGGCAAUGAUGAUGAUUUAAUAAUUCAUUUCUGUAAGGAAGCAAUUCUAUUUUGUAAAAUGGUUGGAAGCAUGUUUUAUGAGCUGAUGCUGUUGGGAGAUUUUUUAGGAAAUAAACCAGGUCGUUUGCUGGCUUGCAAGUUUGCAAUAAACGACAGAAAAUAAAAUAAAUUUAUUGCAUAUAAUGAUAUGCUGCUUUUGCCGAGCAUGAAGUUAAAUUUUAAAUGGUGUAUUCUGAAAUUCAAUCAUAUUGGAGUUUCGGGAGCAUGAGAUGCGUUUGGAAUGUUGCAUUUUAAAUUACUUAAUCAUUAUACUACUUUUAAUGAAGCUUUGUGAAGUGUGUGUGAAAAUUUGGUGAACUUUAGCUGCUCUGAAGUGAAAUCUUAACAGAGUUUUUGGGAGCACGUGUGAUGCUUCUUCAACCAGUAUGGCAGAGGUGCUUUAUGCCCUUUAAUACUUCAAGUGUUCAGGAGGUCUGUCCACCCACGCAGCUCCACGAAUACAGACAGAUAGUAGGCCCAUAAGUUAAACACUAAGAAUUUCAAGGGACCACUUAUCUGGAAUAGAUAAUGCAGGUCUUGAGGACUCCUUGGACACUAAAUCGCUAAUAUUACUUUAAAGAAGGUUUUUAAGUCCUAUUUUGUUUGGUUUAAGUCCUAUUUUGUUUUGAAGUUUUCUUCUCAAUAUUUGUUUGCACUCCAAAUCUGUGCCUUUAAAUCUAUUCAGGAAUUAUCAGCCUCCUCUAUUCCUCUUACAUACGCUAUCUGAUUUUAUCUCCUCUCUUAUAUCAUUUAAAAAGUUAUCAAUCUCUCUCCUCCUUGAAUGCGACCCUUAAAACACUCUUUGGAUCUAUUAAAAGAUGUAGCAUUUGUAAAUUCAGCAUUUCAUUCCUCUCUUGGGAAAUCACAGUUCUGGGGUAUUUGAUUAUACUUUUUGCCUAUUUGCCUAACUCAUUAUUUGGAAAAACAGAAUGACCUGCAACUGUAAUCUUAUCAUUGAGCAGACCUCCACUUUCUACCACUUGAGCACAUUUUGUGUGAUUAAGCUUUACAUUCAUAAGAGUAUGCAGUCACAGGUUCAAGUCCUGCCAUGCUGUUUUUUCCCCUAUUUGUAUUGCUCGUCAUGGAUAUUACUUUUUACACUUUGUAAGUGAUACACCAAAAUAGGAACAAAGUAUGUGAUCAUUUUUUACAGGCACGCACAUGAGAUGCCUCCAAUGCCUUUGAAUCCUUCUUUCUGCAUUUUUUUUUUUGGGUUGGGGGAGGGGGAGGGACUUGGCUCGUUUACAAGCAUGAUACGAUGGAAGCAUUCUCUUCUUCCCCUUUUGUAAGUUCUGUAGUAAUAUGCUCAUGAUUGGUUGGCUCUAAUAAUUGUGAUCUGAAAUUUUGAAUUAUACUCUCACUCACGCACACAUACACUAGCAUACAGAUAUGGUGUACCCGAAUUGUCAGUUGUUGCCCCCGUUCAUUAUUUCAGUGAUAAAGAUAUGCACUUUCCUGAAUAUUUCUCUGUCAGUUAUAGUUCAUAUCUCCAUGAAAUCUUCCUCUGCUCACAAGUUUUCUUGGAGGAACAUUGUGGCCUGGUUUUCGAGAGAAAUUGGACAGUAAUUCCAAUCACCAUGUACCCUUGUGCAAAGUUUAUUCAUGCUGUUAGUUGGAUGAAAUUCUACUGUUUGUGAUUAGUAUUCUUCACACUUUUGAAGACAUGAGUACGAAUUUAAGAAAGCUGAAAUUUGUCUUCCGCAAUCUUGUGGCUACUGAAUGACUAUUUCCAUGUAUUUGCUCUUGAUUUUGUUUCUUUGCACUCUCAUCUAAACAUGCCUUCUCGAAAAUUUUGAUUAUACAAUGGCUUGCCGUACAUUAGUUUAAAUAUGUUGCAUUACUUUUUCUCUUAUAUUCAUAUAGUUAUGGAUGUACCUCUCCCUUUAUCUGGCUUGAGCAUGCUAUAAAUUUCUUCUACAUUGGUUCCUCGAGCAAUAUCUCCAUGAGUCUCGGCACCAGCAUGCUAUGAGAAGAGCAAGGGGAUCAGGUGGCCGUUUUCUCAACACCAAAAAACUCAACGAUAAGGACAAAAAUUCUACUGCCAACGAGCUGCCAAAAUCUGAUGCAAUUGCUCCUUUCAACUCAACUGGUUCCACAAGGGUUCUCGACAUGCAUAAAGAGCACUCUCUCUCAAAUGGAAACAGAAAUGGCUAUGGACUGUCAUCGUUCCAUUAUAAAGAAUCGUCUUGGAGCGAACAGGGAAGAGGACAUUUUGGUCAGGACAACUGGCGCUCUCAGGUGGAACAAUCUCCGCAGAGGGCUGCCCCCAGCAAAUGAGAAGUGGCCUCUUUAUAGUGGCAGAUGGGUCUUUUCGGUAUUGCUUCAUCGUGCAGAUAUAUAGUGUUCAAAAAUGUCCUCUGCACUGGCAAAGGCUGAUAUGGGACUCAUCUGAGCUAUAUUGGGGAUAACUCCUCUGUGGUAUUGCUUUUGUCAGGCAAUUCAUUCUUGGCUUGGUUACUUGUAUCUCGCAGCGUAAUUCUCUGAAAAUAGAAAAUUGUACGAUCUGAUAGUAGAAAUUUCCCAUGGAACAAAUCUCUGAACUUUACCUGUGUGUAUCCUUGUGUUUGAGAAUCUCUAUGAAGUACUUCAUUCAGCUGUGCUUAA